UGGGGAAUAUUGCACAAUGGGCGAAAGCCUGAUGCAGCAACGCCGCGUGAGUGAUGAAGGUCUUCGGAUUGUAAAGCUCUGUCUUUUGGGACGAUAAUGACGGUACCAAAGGAGGAAGCCACGGCUAACUACGUGCCAGCAGCCGCGGUAAUACGUAGGUGGCGAGCGUUGUCCGGAUUUACUGGGCGUAAAGGGUGCGUAGGCGGAUGUUUAAGUGAGAUGUGAAAUACCCGGGCUUAACUUGGGUGCUGCAUUUCAAACUGGAUAUCUAGAGUGCAGGAGAGGAGAAUGGAAUUCCUAGUNUAGCGGUGAAAUGCGUAGAGAUUAGGAAGAACACCAGUGGCGAAGGCGAUUCUCUGGACUGUAACUGACGCUGAGGCACGAAAGCGUGGGUAGCAAACAGGAUUAGAUACCCUGGUAGUCCACGCCGUAAACGAUGAGUACU
rnacentral:rRNA from 1 species